rnacentral:lncRNA from 10 species
UUCCCUCACAGGGCUUCCCUGCCGUCCAGUGUUGGGUGAGAAAGGUGGAGGGGACAUGUAGCCCCGGAUGGAGGUGCAGCACCAACGAGAGAGCUCCGGCCUGUGGGAGGGACGCUCAGGCUUAGGUCAAAGCCAGGAGCUCCGGGAAACCUGGGUUCAGCCGCCACGCCCCACGGAGGGGACACACCCUUCCCUGCCUGAUGGCAGGGCCCAUGGUAGACAAAACCCAUGACCUCACCUCUCCUGGCUCCAGGGCUCAGCCCUGCCCACUUCUGGAGAAUUCCAUGACUCAGGUAACAGAGGAGGGGCCUAGCCAGUCUCAGAGCCAAGGUCACACCGCCCUACACCUUGCUGUCCCCACAGCAUCUGCAGGAGGAGCAUGCCAGGACCAGAGACCCAGGGAGCAGCCUCACCAGAGGGAAAAGAGCCUGUAGAGUGGUGAGCUCAGGCUCUGGAGUGAAUGGUGAUGGAGCCUUGGCUUGGUGUGCUGGACACUUGCUUGGUGCCCUGAGCCACCACGUCCAAGUCCAGCUACUGUGAGGUCCCAUGCUGGGAGGAAUCCCAGGCCCUAGGCCAGGUUCCAGCUGACAGCCCCGGCUGAAGUCCCAGACCACAGCCAGCGUCGCCCCCCAAGACCUGAGGGAAGACAUUCACGUCCAGGUCAUUUUGGCUCCAGCUUUGGAGACCUGCCAGUGAGCCCUAGACAUCAUGGACGGGGCAAGCUGCCCCUUCUGCGCCCUGUCCGAUCUCCUAACCACAGAAUCUGGGUGCAUAAGAAAACGGUUGUUUGAAGCAGCUGAGUUCUGGCGUUACUUGUCAUGCAGUAACUGAUAAACAAAACAGCUGCCACCUGCUUCCUGCCCACCCUGUACAAAGACUCCUGUCACCACGGAGCCUGGCACCUCUGGGUGGCUGAAUUCAUUGUGCUCAUUUCUGCGUGACCUUUCUUCACCUCUCAGCCCCAUUCCAGCCUUCUCGGGAUGGACAGCUCUGCUGGGUGAGAAGAAAGCUCAGGCUGGCGGGGAUGGCAAAGGAGCUGCUCUCGGACCCCCAAUCCUGUGUAUGGGUGGGUGUAUGUUGGGCAGGGAGUGUGGAGUGGGGAGGGCCCCUGACAGAAGAGGAAAGCAAAGAAACGUGGUUAAACAGGGAAGCACUGAGGGUCAGACCAAAGUAAUGAGAGGCGUCUGGUGUUGUGGCUAAAUUAUGUCCCCCCAGUUCCUCCACUGAAGUCCUAACCCCUGGUACCUCAGAAUGGGAUUGUGUUGGAGAUGGGUUUGUUUUGUUUUUGUUUUUUUGAGACAGGGCCUCACUCUGUCCCCCAGGCCGGAGUGCAGUGACAUGAUACGGCCCUCCCCAGCCUCUACCUCCUGGGCUCAAGAGAUCCUCCUGCCGCGGACUUCCUGGUAGCUGGGAUGAGGGGUAACGGGAAUGGCAGGACUGUGGUUGAGCUUUGGGAGCCCGGGAAGGAAGGAUACUGGAGCUGGGCUGAUCCAGGACAGCUUCCUGGAGGAGGCGGGAUUUAAACUGGUCAAUGAGGCUCCACGAAACCCUUCUGGGUGUGAGGUACAGAGCUCAGCACGCUGCUGGUCCUUAAAAAAAGAACCACAUGAGGGCAAUAAUCACGAGAGGACUGUGGUGCUAUGUGAAGAAGAAAUGAAACUCAUCCAUGAUAAUGGAGAUGAAAAUCCUAGUUCUUAGGACGGCCUCAAACUUUAGAAAACCUCACACGGACUCAGGGAGAAGAGAGGGGCUAGGUGGGUGUGCAGAGUCCCCCAGUGGCUUGUUUUCAUUGGAAUAAUAACAUCUUACAUUUCGAUGUGGUAAUGUCGCUGUUAAAACGCACUUCUCAUUGUUAGAAAUAAAAAUGACUCAAAGAUGUGAAAGCUUUUCUCCAUUCAGUGACUUACAUGGGGGUUUUCCCAUGAAGGCCUUAGGAGAGGCUGUGAGGCAGCUUAUGCAAGGCUGCUUUCCGCAUCUCUAAGGAGGGUGGAAUGGGAAAUAAAACCAAUAAACUGUAAACUGCUCUCAGAAGAAUUCCUUCCAGCUGAAUUACAGAAACUUAGGCAAGGCUGCUACUAAGUUUAUGGGCUAGCAGUAAGUUUUCCUGCCCUCAUGGCUUUGGGGAAACUCUGAUGACUAUUCCGCUAGAAGGAGUAAUGAGUCAAAGACUGCCCUUAAAUCCUGCAAAAGAGGAUCUGGAAAAAAUACCUGGCACCCCCAUGACUAUCCUUCCCACCACCUGGUACAACCAGAAGUGAAAAUGCCUCAAGUUGAUGUUGAAACAAUAACUCAUCUCACCCUCCACAAAGGCACAGGACAUCUCUCAGCAACAGAGAUCUUUCCUCUAAUCGGAAAGUACACUCUUUGG